rnacentral:rRNA from 1 species
UACGUAGGGGGCAAGCGUUGUCCGGAAUCAUUGGGCGUAAAGCGCACGUAGGCGGCUCGGUAAGUCCGUUGUGAAAGUCAGAGGCUCAACCUCUGGAGGCCAAUGGAUACUGCCGGGCUAGAGUCCGGAAGAGGCGAGUGGAAUUCCUGGUGUAGCGGUGGAAUGCGCAGAUAUCAGGAGGAACACCAAUGGCGAAGGCAGCUCGCUGGGACGGUACUGACGCUGAGGUGCGAAAGCGUGGGGAGCGAACAGG